rnacentral:rRNA from 1 species
ACGUAGGGACCAAGCGUUGUUCGGAUUUACUGGGCGUAAAGGGCGCGUAGGCGGCAAUUCAAGUCAGCUGUGAAAUCCCCGGGCUCAACCUGGGAAUGGCGAUGGAUACUGGCGAGCUAGAGUGUGUCAGAGGAUGGUGGAAUUCCCGGUGUAGCGGUGAAAUGCGUAGAGAUCGGGAGGAACAUCAGUGGCGAAGGCGGCCAUCUGGGACAACACUGACGCUGAAGCACGAAAGCGUGGGGAGCAAACAGGA